GUGUGUGGUAAGUGUGUGUGUGUGAGGUAAGUGUGUGUGUGUGAGGUAAGUGUGUGUGUGUGAGGUAAGUGUGUGUGUGUGAGGUAAGUGUGUGUGAGGUAAGUGUGUGGUAAGUGUGUGUGUGUGUGUGAGGUAAGUGUGUGUGAGGUAAGUGUGUGUGUGUGUGUGUGAGGUAAGUGUGUGAGGUAAGUGUGUGUGUGUGUGUGAGGUAAGUGUGUGAGGUAAGUGUGUGUGUGUGUGUGAGGUAAGUGUGUGUGUGUGUGUGAGGUAAGUGUGUGUGUGUGUGAGGUAAGUGUGUGAGGUAAGUGUGUGUGUGUGAGGUAAGUGUGUGUGUGUGUGUGAGGUAAGUGUGUGUGUGUGUGUGUGAGGUAAGUGUGUGUGUGUGUGUGUGAGGUAAGUGUGUGUGUGUGUGUGAGGUAAGUGUGUGUGUGUGUGUGAGGUAAGUGUGUGUGUGUGUGUGUGUGAGGUAAGUGUGUGUGAGGUAAGUGUGUGUGAGGUAAGUGUGUGUGUGAGGUAAGUGUGUGUGUGAGGUAAGUGUGUGUGUGUGUGAGGUAAGUGUGUGUGUGUGUGUGUGUGUGUGAGGUGUGUGUGUGAGGUAAGUGUGUGUGUGUGUGUGUGUGUGUGAGGUGUGUGUGUGUGUGUGUGUGAGGUAAGUGUGUGUGUGUGUGAGGUAAGUGUGUGUGUGUGUGAGGUAAGUGUGUGUGUGUGUGAGGUAAGUGUGUGUGUGUGUGAGGUAAGUGUGUGUGUGUGUGAGGUAAGUGUGUGUGUGUGUGUGAGGUAAGUGUGUGUGUGUGUGAGGUAAGUGUGUGUGUGUGAGGUAAGUGUGUGUGUGUGAGAGAUAUGUGAGGUAAGUGUGUUUGAGUAGUGUGUGUGUGUGUGAGAGAGAGGUAAGUGUGUGAGAGAGAGAGAGGUAAGUGUGUGAGAGAGAGGUAAGUGUGUGUGUGAGAGAGAGGUAAGUGUGUGUGUGAGAGAGGUAAGUGUGUGUGUGAGAGAGAGGUAAGUGUGUGUGUGAGAGAGAGGUAAGUGUGUGUGUGAGAGAGAGAGGGAAGUGUGUGUGUGAGGGAAGUGUGUGUGUGUGUGUGUGUGUGUGAGAGAUGUGAGGUAAGUGUGUGUGUGAGAGAUGUGAGGUAAGUGUGUGUGUGAGAGAUGUGAGGUAAAUGUGUGCGUGUGAGAGGUGAGGUAACUGUGUUUGAGUAGUGUGUGUGUGUGUGAGAGAGAGAGAGGUAAGUGUGUGUGAGAGAGAGGUAAGUGUGUGUGAGAGAGAGGUAAGUGUGUGUGUGUGAGAGAGGUAAGUGUGUGUGUGUGUGAGAGAGGUAAGUGUGUGUGUGUGAGAGAGAGGUAAGUGUGUGUGUGUGAGAGAGAGGUAAGUGUGUGUGUGUGAGAGAGAGGUAAGUGUGUGUGUGUGAGAGAGAGGUAAGUGUGUGUGAGAGAGAGGUAAGUGUGUGUGUGUGAGAGAGAGGUAAGUGUGUGUGAGAGAGAGAGGUAAGUGUGUGUGAGAGAGAGAGAGGUAAGUGUGUGUGUGAGAGAGAGAGGGAAGUGUGUGUGUGAGGGAAGUGUGUGUGUGUGUGUGUGUGUGUGAGAGAUGUGAGGUAAGUGUGUGUGUGAGAGAGGGAUGUGAGGUAAGUGUGUGUGUGAGUAGUGUGUGUGUGUGAGGUAAGUGUGUGUGUGAGGUAAGUGUGUGUGUGAGAGAGAGAGAGAGAGAGGUAAGUGUGUGUGAGAGAGGGGACAGAGUGUGUGUACACUAGAGACUGUCCAUUUUAAAACUGGUAGGAAAUAUUCAGAGAAGGCUACUUUUCGCUGUUUGAAGAAAGUUGUCCACCUUUUAAUUUUUAAGUGCAAAGUUGUACUUUGAAUAGUUUUUUUCUGGUUAUUUCUACGUUUAUUUUUUAUAUAAAUAAAUCUUACCUUGGUUCUCCCUCAUACAGAUCUGAAGUUCACUCCUUUUGGUGUCCGGGGCACAUUUUCUUGUAAGACUUAGAUUUGUUGAAAUACUGAAUCUGGUUUCCCCAUCAACAACAGACUGAAUUUCUUUCGUACCUGAUUUCAGGGCAGUUCCACCUGCACGGUUCGGUGAAGUUGCCUCCUAGACGCUGAUCUUGGGUCAACCACUAACGGUUGAGGUUUGGAUUGGGGGAGGGGGAGGGGGGAUAAACUGAUUCUAGAUCUGUAGCUAGGGGGAAACUUCACCUUUUUAGCCUCUUAGACUGCAGAGCUGUUAUCUACUUACAGUACGUGUCACUCCCCCCAAGUCUACAAAAAGAAACAGAUUAAUCUAUUUACAUGGAUCUUUAUCUUUUAAUCUCUAGUUUUUUUUUUCUGUUGCUUUUUGUUACCUCCCAUUUUCAGAGCAGAUUCUAAGUGUUAUCGAUUGUUCCUGUAUUGAUGUGGCAUGUCAUGUGUAUGUGAUACAGUUUGGAGUGAGGCAGAAUAAAGAGGGGUUUCGUACCGUUUGGUUUCCGUUUUGUCUCGCUCCCCAAUGAACUAUAACCAACGAGUGAAUGAGUUUGUCUCAAAAUCUUCCCUAUUCCCUUAUUUGUAACAGGCUUCCAAUAGUGAAAAUGUAAAGAUCUUUCAAGUUAAUCACCUGACAAAAGUUCAACAAAUAGCUACCCUGUUGAGGAAAAUGGCGGCACUCGGUUUGUUGUUUUGUAAAAUGUUGAAAGUCUAUUGGAAAGUUUGACUACUAGCUAGUUAGCUUCUUUUUGGGGAGGGGGGAGUUUCGAUCCCAUGAAGCGGUUGGCAUCAGUUGUUGGGACUGCUGACCAAGGCUGGGUCUGAGGAGCUGUGUGGCGUAGCAGGGUCAUGAUGAUGAUGAUAAUAAUAAUCACAGUGGUUGUCGAGGGUACAACAGGUCACCACCUCAAGAAUAAAUGUCAGUUGGCUUUUCAUAGCCCAUCAUUCAGAGUUAGAGACAGCAGGUGUGGUAGAGGGAGUCCAAAAC
ensembl:lncRNA